CGAAGGGUGCGAGCGUUGUUCGGAAUUAUUGGGCGUAAAGCGCACGUAGGCGGCCUUGUAAGUCUCACUGUGAAAGCCCGGGGCUCAACCCCGGGAGGCCAGGGGAUACUGCGAGGCUGGAGACAAGCAGAGGUUGGUAGAAUUCCGGGUGUAGCGGUGGAAUGCGUAGAGAUCCGGAGGAAUACCAGAGGCGAAGGCGGCCAACUGGGCUUGUUCUGACGCUGAGGUGCGAAAGCGUGGGGAGCGAACAGGAUUAGAUACCCUGGUAGUCCACGCCGUAAACGAUGGGCACUAGAUGCCGGUGGGAACGACCCUUGGUGUCGAAGCUAACGCAUUAAGUGCCCCGCCUGGGGAGUACGGCCGCAAGGCUG
rnacentral:rRNA from 1 species